rnacentral:rRNA from 1 species
GACGAACGCUGGCGGCGUGCUUAACACAUGCAAGUCGAACGGAAAGGCCCUGCUUUUGUGGGGUGCUCGAGUGGCGAACGGGUGAGUAACACGUGAGUAACCUGCCCUUGACUUUGGGAUAGCUUCAGGAAACUGGGGCUAAUACCGGAUAGGAGCUCCUGCUGCAUGGUGGGGGUUGGAAAGUUUCGGCGGUUGGGGAUGGACUCGCGGCUUAUCAGCUUGUUGGUGGGGUAGUGGCUUACCAAGGCUUUGACGGGUAGCCGGCCUGAGAGGGUGACCGGCCACAUUGGGGCUGAGAUACGGCCCAGACUCCUACGGGAGGCAGCAGUGGGGAAUAUUGCACAAUGGGCGGAAGCCUGAUGCAGCAACGCCGCGUGCGGGAUGACGGCCUUCGGGUUGUAAACCGCUUUCGCCUGUGACGAAGCGUGAGUGACGGUAAUGGGUAAAGAAGCACCGGCUAACUACGUG